CCUACGGGAGGCAGCAGUAAGGAAUAUUGGACAAUGGGCGGAAGCCUGAUCCAGCCAUGCCGCGUGCAGGAAGAAGGCCCUAUGGGUUGUAAACUGCUUUUGCAGGGGAGAAAUGAGGUUGAUUUAUCGACCGAUGAUAGUACUCUGCGAAUAAGCAUCGGCUAACUUCGUGCCAGCAGCCGCGGUAAGACGAAGGAUGCGAGCGUUAUCCGGAUUCACUGGGUUUAAAGGGUGCGUAGGCGGUUUAGUAAGUUUCAAAUAAAAGACUGGUGCUUAACAUCAGGACUGCUUGAAAAACUGCUAGACUGGAGAUAGGUCGGGGUUGCUGAAAUAGGGCAAGUAGAGGUGAAAUUCAUAGAUAUGCCAUAGAACACCGAUAGCGAAGGCAGGCGACGAGGCCUUAUCUGACGCUGAGGCACGAAAGCGUGGGGAUCAAACAGGAUUAGAUCCCUUUGUAGU
rnacentral:rRNA from 1 species